rnacentral:rRNA from 1 species
AAGAAACCAACAGGGAUCCCCCCAGUAACGGCGAGUGAAGAGGGGUCAGCUCAGCGCUUAAUCGGCGGGGUGCACACGUGUCCCGCCGAGGUGUGGCGUAUAGGCGGGUGGAGCCGGCGGACUGCGGCGGGGCAUCUCUCCUGGAAAGGAGGCUCAGAGAGGGUGAUAAGCCCGUCGUCCCGCAGCGGCCCUCCGGUGCUCGGCCCUGCCUCCGAGUCGGGUUGCUUGGUAACGCAGCUCUAAGUGGGUGGUACACAUCAUCUAAAGCUAAAUAUGGCCACGAGACCGAUAGCGAAACAGUACCGUGAGGGAAAGUUGAAAACGACUCUGAAGAGAGAGUUAAAAGCGCGUGAAACCGGUGGGGUGGAAACGGAUAGAGCCGACGUAUACGGCCCGUACUCGGUUGCGCGGUGGUUGCGAGACCGCCCCGCCUCCUACUUGCGGGUGCAGUGCGCUGAGGGCCGUGACCGCCCGGUUCGAGGCGGGACGUAGUGCGCUUGGCCCUCAAGCCAAGUUGCCCCUCCCGAUCAGGACUGUGGCAGUUGCGGUUUUAUGUAAGGGAUGCGUUUGCGGCCAGUUGCGUCCGGUUGAGUUGUCGGUGGACGCUUGCGCCCGCUGGCAUGCUCCCCCGCUCGCUCCUGUGCGGCAGCCGUCCCCACUCGGUGUGAGAGUCGGUCACCUAUCCGACCCGUCUUGAAACACGGACCAAGGAGUUUACCGCAUACGCGAGUCACCGGGAUCCGCGAAUCCCGCGGGCGCAACGAAAGUGAAUCUCGUGUGAUGCGUUCCGUAGUGUGCUAAACCACACGACGGCACGCCGCAGCAUGGCCCUGCGGCAGCCGCCUCGGCGGCGCCGCGGAGGAGGAGCGUAUGCGAUGAGACCCGAAAGAUGGUGAACUAUGCCUGAGCAUGCUGAAGGGAAGGGAAACUUUCCUGGAAGGCUGAAGCGGUUCUGACGUGCAACUCGAUCGUCUGACUUGGGUAUAGGGGCGAAAGACUAAUCGAACCAUCUAGUAGCUGGUUCCCUCCGAAGUUUCCCCCAGGAUAGCUGGAGUGCGUCGCAGGCAGUUGUACUCGGUAAAGCGAAUGAUUAGAGGACUUGGGAUCAUUAGAUCUCAACCUAUUCUCAAGCUCUAAAUGGGUAUGAAGCGCGUGCGUUUCCUUAGCGAACGCCGGCGUCGAAUGCUGUGCUCCAUGUGGGCCAUUUUUGGUAAGCAGAACU